CCUACGGGGGGCUGCAGUGGGGAAUAUUGGACAAUGGGCGAAAGCCUGAUCCAGCCAUGCCGCGUGUGUGAAGAAGGCCUUCGGGUUGUAAAGCACUUUCAGUGGGGAAGAAAGCCUUGGGGCUAAUACCCUCGAGGAAGGACAUCACCCACAGAAGAAGCACCGGCUAACUCCGUGCCAGCAGCCGCGGUAAUACGGAGGGUGCGAGCGUUAAUCGGAAUUACUGGGCGUAAAGCGCGCGUAGGCGGUCUGAUAAGCCGGUUGUGAAAGCCCCGGGCUCAACCUGGGAACGGCAUCCGGAACUGUCAGGCUAGAGUGCAGGAGAGGAAGGUAGAAUUCCCGGGGUAGCGGUGAAAUGCGUAGAGAUCGGGAGGAAUACCAGUGGCGAAGGCGGCCUUCUGGACUGACACUGACGCUGAGGUGCGAAAGCGUGGGUAGCAAACAGGAUUAGAUACCCAGUAGUC
rnacentral:rRNA from 1 species